UGUGUUUACCAGUGAGAAAAGGUUGAAUCGCAUCAGGAAAGCUAGUGUGUGGUGAUUUCGGAUACGGCCGUUUCGGGUUUUUUUUUUCGGUGGAACUUGACUAGACACUACAGGCAUUCAGAAAGUUUUGUGUUUCUUCGCGAUCUGUGGAUGCGGAUGUGUUGUUGUGUUUUUUUUUAAAGUUUGAUUCUCAUCGUCUCGCCCUCCUCCCCCGUGUGGAGUGUGCGUGUGUGUGUGGCCGGGGAGUAAGCGUUGAUGCUCUGUGGGCCUUCUCCCGUAGUAGGUAGUAAAGGCGGGUGUAAAUUUUUGUGGUUUCGCUAAAAUAUCAAAGGAGAAGCAGGCAGGAGUGAAAGAAACGGUACACCCUGAUCCAGUGAUCGUGGCCACGCCGAGCAAAGUGAAACCUGUGUGCAUGUUCGAGUUGAUGGCUUGAUGGAAUUGUAGAUUGUGUUAAACCGAAGAAGUCCACGACGUGGAAGAAGCGAAUGUGUUAGUGCUUGCCCUAAGCGAGAGCGGGAAGAUUGCAACUUGUUCUGGAUAACUCGGUGUCCUAAAAAGAGUUCAACAGGUUAUAUCGGAUUAUACAGAGCUCCGGAGAUCGUUCGACGAUUGCUGCAAGAACACUUGACCAGACGGAACAAGGAUAACUUUUAUCCGCCCGAAUCACUAACGAAGAGAGUGUGUACUUUUUCCUUCCGUUGCGCGUGCCACUUCCGGCAAGUCAAGUUUCGCCAAAGUUUAUUUCGAACUACACGUGCGCGCGAGGACGAGGAUUAAGCAACCGAAUCCAAACAGGAAAGAACAAUCAAAAACGAAUAAAUCUCAUUCUGGAAAUACAGCGGAAACGCUUCAGCGCGGGAGAGUGUAUGUGUGCGUUGUGUAAGGAAGCGGAAAGGAAAUUGCUUUUCCCCUCCUUGGCAGCGUUGCGGGACUGCUGAUUUUGCUUGGAAAACUAAUAAAAAAGUGUGCGCGCUGCUGACGAACGUGGCCGGGAAAACGAAGGAAGGAAAUUAAAACUAAACAAACCUGAUGAAGGUGAAGCGGUUGUGAGGUGAGUGUCUGCGCUGAAGUAACUAAAUCGAAAGAUAAGUGGCUAUGAAGAAAACUAGGUAGCUUUUUUUUCUUCUUUCUUGUUGUUUCGGGUUCAAGACGAAAUUCGACGUCGACUGCGAGUUGAAUGAAAUUUAUUUUACGAUCAAUUUUUCCGCUAUCGACGCCCCACCGGCAAACUAGAAAGACUUGCACAAUCUGAAGAGGAGUUUCCUUCCUCUCGAAAGCAGACACGGUGGGAAUUCGCAACCGUCCCUGGGAGUAUCUAGUGUAGUGAUUAAGCAGUCAUACAACAGUGCAUUGGGUGUCAAUCUCGUCAACGGAAGAGGGUUCAUAAAUAGAAACGUACCGAAAGAAAGAAAAGUUCGUGUCAGAUCCACCGAGCAGUCAGUGUGUGAAUGUCAGCUGCAAAUAGUGUCUCUUGACAAGUUGGAAAAGUGAAAACUUUGAAAACGGAAAGUGACACAGACCUCCCCCCGACCAACAGGUGUCUGCAUCCACACAGGGUGGUGCGUCAAAGUCAACAGCAGAGCGCAGAUCGGCAAGAUAGCGCCGUGUCAACCUGAGAAGGAUAGAGCCGACGAUAAUGGGAAGCGAUGAUAUGAAGUGAAGGUGUGUCACUAUGUUCAAUACAUAUUAAAAAAGCUAUUAACGAUCAAGUGAAGGAGUCCAUUGCAUUG